UCCGAAAGGGGUUAGCGUUGUCCGGAUUUAUUGGGCGUAAAGAGCGUGUAGGCGGCCGAGCAGGUCCGUUGUGAAAACUGAAGGCUCAACCUUCAGAGGUCGAUGGAAACCGUUCGGCUAGAGUCCGGAAGAGGAGAGUGGAAUUCCUGGUGUAGCGGUGAAAUGCGCAGAUAUCAGGAAGAACACCCGUGGCGAAAGCGGCUCUCUGGGACGGUACUGACGCUGAGACGCGAAAGCGUGGGGAGAGAACAGG
rnacentral:rRNA from 1 species